rnacentral:rRNA from 1 species
UACGUAGGCAGCGAGCGUUGUUCGGAAUCAUUGGGCGUAAAGCGCGUGUAGGCGGGUCUUUAAGUCAGGGGUGAAAUCCUGGAGCUCAACUCCAGAACUGCCUUUGAUACUGAGGAUCUUGAGUUCGGGAGAGGUGAGUGGAACUGCGAGUGUAGAGGUGAAAUUCGUAGAUAUUCGCAAGAACACCAGUGGCGAAGGCGGCUCACUGGCCCGGCACUGACGCUGAGGUGCGAAAGCGUGGGGAGCAAACAGG